UUUCAUCUCAUCAUCACUCACUGCUCCCCACUCAUCUCCCCAACUCCUUGAUCUUGCUGAGGUUGUUUAACAAGAUCAAGGAGUUGGGGAGAUGAGUGGGGAGCAGUGAGUGAUGCUUUAAAAAU
rnacentral:miRNA from 1 species